GAUGAACGCUAGCGGCAGGCUUAACACAUGCAAGUCGAGGGGUAGGAGAAGCUUGCUUUUCUGAGACCGGCGCACGGGUGCGUAACGCGUAUGCAAUCUACCUUUCACAGAGGGAUAGCCCAGAGAAAUUUGGAUUAAUACCUCAUAGUAAUACGCCUUGGCAUCAAGAUGUAUUUAAAGAUUUAUCGGUGAAAGAUGAGCAUGCGUCCCAUUAGCUAGUUGGUAUGGUAACGGCAUACCAAGGCAACGAUGGGUAGGGGUCCUGAGAGGGAGAUCCCCCACACUGGUACUGAGACACGGACCAGACUCCUACGGGAGGCAGCAGUGAGGAAUAUUGGACAAUGGGCGCAAGCCUGAUCCAGCCAUGCCGCGUGCAGGAUGACGGUCCUAUGGAUUGUAAACUGCUUUUAUACAGGAAGAAACACUUCUACGUGUAGAGACUUGACGGUACUGUAAGAAUAAGGAUCGGCUAACUCCGUGCCAGCAGCCGCGGUAAUACGGAGGAUCCAAGCGUUAUCCGGAAUCAUUGGGUUUAAAGGGUCCGUAGGCGGUCAGAUAAGUCAGUGGUGAAAGCCCAUCGCUCAACGGUGGAACGGCCAUUGAUACUGUCUGACUUGAAUUAUUAGGAAGUAACUAGAAUAUGUAGUGUAGCGGUGAAAUGCUUAGAGAUUACAUGGAAUACCAACUGUGAAGGCAGGUUACUACUAAUAUAUUGACGCUGAUGGACGAAAGCGUGGGUAGCGAACAGGAUUAGAUACCCUGGUAGUCCACGCCGUAAACGAUGGAUACUAGCUGUUGGGAGCAAUCUCAGUGGCUAAGCGAAAGUGAUAAGUAUCCCACCUGGGGAGUACGAACGCAAGUUUGAAACUCAAAGGAAUUGACGGGGGCCCGCACAAGCGGUGGAGCAUGUGGUUUAAUUCGAUGAUACGCGAGGAACCUUCCCAAGGCUUAAAUGUAGUUUGACCGGUUGGAAACAG
rnacentral:rRNA from 1 species